rnacentral:tRNA from 2 species
GCCGACGUUAUAUAAAACAAUGACUUGCAAUCAAAAAUGCUCCCUUGGUAAGGGAGAGGUCGCGAGUUCAAUCCUCGCCAGCAGCA